GUGCUCGAUUCAUCAGCACAUAUACUAAAAUUGGAACAAUACAGAGAAGAUUAGCAUGGUCCCUUCACAAGGAUGACACACAAAUUUGUGAAGCGUUCCAUAUUAAU
ensembl:snRNA U6 U6 spliceosomal RNA